UACGUAGGGUGCAAGCGUUAAUCGGAAUUACUGGGCGUAAAGGGUGCGUAGACGGGAAGGCAAGUUAGUUGUGAAAUCCCUCGGCUUAACUGAGGAACUGCAACUAAAACUAUCUUUCUUGAGUGCUGGAGAGGAAAGUGGAAUUCCAAGUGUAGCGGUGAAAUGCGUAGAUAUUAGGAGGAACACCAGUGGCGAAGGCGACUUUCUGGACAGUAACUGACGUUGAGGCACGAAAGUGUGGGGAGCAAACAGG
rnacentral:rRNA from 1 species